CCUACGGGCGGCAGCAGUAGGGAAUAUUGCUCAAUGGGGGAAACCCUGAAGCAGCAACGCCGCGUGGAGGAUGAAGGUUUUCGGAUUGUAAACUCCUUUUGUUAGAGAAGAUAAUGACGGUAUCUAACGAAUAAGCACCGGCUAACUCAGUGCCAGCAGCCGCGGUAAUACGGAGGGUGCAAGCGUUACUCGGAAUCACUGGGCGUAAAGGGCGCGUAGGCGGGAUAGCAAGUCAGAUGUGAAAUCCUAUGGCUUAACCAUAGAACUGCAUUUGAAACUGUUAUUCUAGAGUAUGGGAGAGGUAGGUGGAAUUCUUGGUGUAGGGGUAAAAUCCGUAGAGAUCAAGAAGAAUACUCAUUGCGAAGGCGACCUGCUAGAACAUAACUGACGCUGAUGCGCGAAAGCGUGGGGAGCAAACAGGAUUAGAUACCCUAGUAGUC
rnacentral:rRNA from 1 species